CAGUGUGGAGCUUGGACAGUUGUAAGAUGUGUUGUGUGGGCUGAAUUAGUUGUUGUACAAUUCCUGUCUAUCUCAUUGAAUACAGCUUUCAGCAGCCCCUCGUGCCAAGUUUGAGUCCAAUUAAACUACAAUGAAAGCCCUGAAGAUGGCUGCCUGCAGGGAAGGAUCCGACGCCACCCGAGGUCUCAGGAAGUGUUUCCGACCACACAAAUGGAAAAUGCUCGAGAAGAGCACAACUGGCCCUGAAACAAAACUAAGGCCCAGGUGGUGAGAACGACCCCAGCUGGCUGAGAACCGAAGGUCAAAGAGGCCCUGGGUCUGGCUGAGUGUGCCAAACUCUGAAUCCCAGAAGCUUAAAAUAUAAUCAGAGUUCCUCCUACCAGCUCAGGGAACCACGGAUCUCCUAGUAUUCCUUCAGGGAAAAAAAAAAAAAAAAUUACAGAAAAAGCCCAACAUAAAACUAGAAGAGAUCAGUUUAAUGAUAUAUGCGUAAAAAAUAAUCAAGAUCAAAACACA